AUUGAACGCUGGCGGCAGGCCUAACACAUGCAAGUCGAACGGUAACAGGAAGAAGCUUGCUUCUUUGCUGACGAGUGGCGGACGGGUGAGUAAUGUCUGGGAAACUGCCUGAUGGAGGGGGAUAACUACUGGAAACGGUAGCUAAUACCGCAUAACGUCGCAAGACCAAAGAGGGGGACCUUCGGGCCUCUUGCCAUCGGAUGUGCCCAGAUGGGAUUAGCUAGUAGGUGGGGUAACGGCUCACCUAGGCGACGAUCCCUAGCUGGUCUGAGAGGAUGACCAGCCACACUGGAACUGAGACACGGUCCAGACUCCUACGGGAGGCAGCAGUGGGGAAUAUUGCACAAUGGGCGCAAGCCUGAUGCAGCCAUGCCGCGUGUAUGAAGAAGGCCUUCGGGUUGUAAAGUACUUUCAGCGGGGAGGAAGGGAGUAAAGUUAAUACCUGUACUCAUUGACGGUACCCGCAGAAGAAGCACCGGCUAACUCCGUG
rnacentral:rRNA from 1 species